rnacentral:rRNA from 1 species
GACGAACGCUGGCGGCGUGCCUAAUACAUGCAAGUUGAGCGCUGAAGGUUGGUACUUGUACCAACUGGAUGAGCAGCGAACGGGUGAGUAACGCGUGGGGAAUCUGCCUUUGAGCGGGGGACAACAUUUGGAAACGAAUGCUAAUACCGCAUAAAAACUUUAAACACAAGUUUUAAGUUUGAAAGAUGCAAUUGCAUCACUCAAAGAUGAUCCCGCGUUGUAUUAGCUAGUUGGUGAGGUAAAGGCUCACCAAGGCGAUGAUACAUAGCCGACCUGAGAGGGUGAUCGGCCACAUUGGGACUGAGACACGGCCCAAACUCCUACGGGAGGCAGCAGUAGGGAAUCUUCGGCAAUGGGCGAAAGUCUGACCGAGCAACGCCGCGUGAGGGAAGAAGGUUGUCGGAUCGUAAAACUCUGUUGGUAGAGAAGAACGUUGGUGAGAGUGGAAAGCUCAUCAAGUGACGGUAACUACCCAGAAAGGGACGGCUAACUACGUG